rnacentral:rRNA from 1 species
AACGCUAGCUACAGGCUUAACACAUGCAAGUCGAGGGGCAGCAUGAUUGAAGCUUGCUUCAAUUGAUGGCGACCGGCGCACGGGUGAGUAACACGUAUCCAACCUUCCGUACACUCAGGGAUAGCCUUUCGAAAGAAAGAUUAAUACCUGAUGGUAUCUUAAGCACACAUGUAAUUAAGAUUAAAGAUUUAUCGGUGUACGAUGGGGAUGCGUUCCAUUAGGUAGUAGGCGGGGCAACGGCCCACCUAGCCUACGAUGGAUAGGGGUUCUGAGAGGAAGGUCCCCCACAUUGGAACUGAGACACGGUCCAAACUCCUACGGGAGGCAGCAGUGAGGAAUAUUGGUCAAUGGACGAGAGUCUGAACCAGCCAAGUAGCGUGAAGGAUGAAGGUCCUACGGAUUGUAAACUUCUUUUAUAAGGGAAUAAAACCUCCCACGUGUGGGAGCUUGUAUGUACCUUAUGAAUAAGCAUCGGCUAACUCCGUGCCAGCAGCCGCGGUAAUACGGAGGAUGCGAGCGUUAUCCGGAUUUAUUGGGUUUAAAGGGAGCGCAGACGGGUCGUUAAGUCAGCUGUGAAAGUUUGGGGCUCAACCUUAAAAUUGCAGUUGAUACUGGCGUCCUUGAGUGCGGUUGAGGUGUGCGGAAUUCGUGGUGUAGCGGUGAAAUGCUUAGAUAUCACGAAGAACUCCGAUUG